UAGAAUGAACACACGACCGGCACUUCACACGGUGAAAGACAACCUUGGCAUUCAUCAGCAGAUAACAUGCAUCAGCAGAUAACCCUUACUCUUCAGAUUAUUUGAUAAUCAUGAGAAAUGGAAGAUGUUCUUCCCAGUGACCUUCAUCAUGUCCAUCCUGUGGAUCGCAGUAUUCUCCUACCUCAUGGUUUGGUGGACUGAGACACUCGGCCGAACUCUUGGCUUGGGAGAGAAACCAGAGGUUUAUACAACCCCCGGAAGUACAGACAACAAAGCAGACAUAAUCUGGAAUAUCGAUAACCUCUAAAGCUCUAAGAGGACCCAAAAUAAAAGCAACUCCUGGAGGCUGGGAUUAUGAAAGAUUUCCACGAAACUCACGCCAGCUGCUUCACACAUUGAAAAUUAAGAUCAGAGAACUGAAAAGUAAAAGCGGAUCUUGGCGUUUCAACAAUUCCUCUAGACUCGUGUCUGCUGCUUUACGGCUUAAAAAUUAUGAGAACUGGUGGAUCAAAAAUAUGGACGGUAUAGAUGAAGGACGUCUAGAAAUGAGCAGCCUUGACCUUUCUUUCCCACCGUGACAGGCAGAAUAAUAAAGCUAUCAAAGCUAUCAAGUAUUGGCAACUGAUCUUCACCCAGCAGACUCUCAAUUUUUAAACCAGAUAGAAACAACUGUUAGCAAAUCAGUUUCGGCCCAGUGCAAAACUGGGCCAAAUCAUAUAAAAACUGCUAAUAUCUGCUAUAACAGAUCCGGCUUUGUUUCACGCCGCCGUUUUCCUCUUAGUCUUAUACAAUUAAUUACUUCCCAGGUCUUUUUACUAUUCCGGCUAUUUUCUGCAAAUUUACCAGAUACAGAGAAGUAUUCUGUUUUCACAGUUUUACGUGUUUUCUUUAGGACUUUUCUGUUGAAAUAA